CAUAGGUUAAUGAGGCGAACCGGGGGAACUGAAACAUCUAAGUACCCCGAGGAAAAGAAAUCAACCGAGAUUCCCCCAGUAGCGGCGAGCGAACGGGGAGCAGCCCAGAGUCUGAAUCAGUGUGUGUGUUAGUGGAAGUGUCUGGAAAGGCGCGCGAUACAGGGUGACAGCCCCGUACACAAAAAUGCACAUGCUGUGAGCUCGAUGAGUAGGGCGGGACACGUGGUAUCCUGUCUGAAUAUGGGGGGACCAUCCUCCAAGGCUAAAUACUCCUGACUGACCGAUAGUGAACCAGUACCGUGAGGGAAAGGCGAAAAGAACCCCGGCGAGGGGAGUGAAAAAGAACCUGAAACCGUGUACGUACAAGCAGUGGGAGCCCUGAUUUAUCAGGGUGACUGCGUACCUUUUGUAUAAUGGGUCAGCGACUUAUAUUCUGUAGCAAGGUUAACCGAAUAGGGGAGCCGGAGGGAAACCGAGUCUUAACUGGGCGUUAAGUUGCAGGGUAUAGACCCGAAACCCGGUGAUCUAGCCAUGGGCAGGUUGAAGGUUGGGUAACACUAACUGGAGGACCGAACCGACUAAUGUUGAAAAAUUAGCGGAUGACUUGUGGCUGGGGGUGAAAGGCCAAUCAAACCGGGAGAUAGCUGGUUCUCCCCGAAAGCUAUUUAGGUAGCGCCUCGUGAAUUCAUCUCCGGGGGUAGAGCACUGUUUCGGCAAGGGGGUCAUCCCGACUUACCAACCCGAUGCAAACUGCGAAUACCGGAGAAUGUUAUCACGGGAGACACACGGCGGGUGCUAACGUCCGUCGUGAAGAGGGAAACAACCCAGACCGCCAGCUAAGGUCCCAAAGUCAUGGUUAAGUGGGAAACGAUGUGGGAAGGCCCAGACAGCCAGGAUGUUGGCUUAGAAGCAGCCAUCAUUUAAAGAAAGCGUAAUAGCUCACUGGUCGAGUCGGCCUGCGCGGAAGAUGUAACGGGGCUAAACCAUGCACCGAAGCUGCGGCAGCGACACUGUGUGUUGUUGGGUAGGGGAGCGUUCUGUAAGCCUGUGAAGGUGUGCUGUGAGGCAUGCUGGAGGUAUCAGAAGUGCGAAUGCUGACAUAAGUAACGAUAAAGCGGGUGAAAAGCCCGCUCGCCGGAAGACCAAGGGUUCCUGUCCAACGUUAAUCGGGGCAGGGUGAGUCGACCCCUAAGGCGAGGCCGAAAGGCGUAGUCGAUGGGAAACAGGUUAAUAUUCCUGUACUUGGUGUUACUGCGAAGGGGGGACGGAGAAGGCUAUGUUGGCCGGGCGACGGUUGUCCCGGUUUAAGCGUGUAGGCUGGUUUUCCAGGCAAAUCCGGAGAAUCAAGGCUGAGGCGUGAUGACGAGGCACUACGGUGCUGAAGCAACAAAUGCCCUGCUUCCAGGAAAAGCCUCUAAGCAUCAGGUAACAUCAAAUCGUACCCCAAACCGACACAGGUGGUCAGGUAGAGAAUACCAAGGCGCUUGAGAGAACUCGGGUGAAGGAACUAGGCAAAAUGGUGCCGUAACUUCGGGAGAAGGCACGCUGAUAUGUAGGUGAAGCGACUUGCUCGUGGAGCUGAAAUCAGUCGAAGAUACCAGCUGGCUGCAACUGUUUAUUAAAAACACAGCACUGUGCAAACACGAAAGUGGACGUAUACGGUGUGACGCCUGCCCGGUGCCGGAAGGUUAAUUGAUGGGGUCAGCGCAAGCGAAGCUCUUGAUCGAAGCCCCGGUAAACGGCGGCCGUAACUAUAACGGUCCUAAGGUAGCGAAAUUCCUUGUCGGGUAAGUUCCGACCUGCACGAAUGGCGUAAUGAUGGCCAGGCUGUCUCCACCCGAGACUCAGUGAAAUUGAACUCGCUGUGAAGAUGCAGUGUACCCGCGGCAAGACGGAAAGACCCCGUGAACCUUUACUAUAGCUUGACACUGAACACUGGUCCUUGAUGUGUAGGAUAGGUGGGAGGCUUUGAAGUGUGGACGCCAGUCUGCAUGGAGCCGUCCUUGAAAUACCACCCUUUAAUGGCUGGUGUUCUAACGUUGGCCCCUUACCGGGGUUGCGGACAGUGUCUGGUGGGUAGUUUGACUGGGGCGGUCUCCUCCUAAAGAGUAACGGAGGAGCACGAAGGUUGGCUAAUCCUGGUCGGACAUCAGGAGGUUAGUGCAAUGGCAUAAGCCAGCUUGACUGCGAGCGUGACGGCGCGAGCAGGUGCGAAAGCAGGUCAUAGUGAUCCGGUGGUUCUGAAUGGAAGGGCCAUCGCUCAACGGAUAAAAGGUACUCCGGGGAUAACAGGCUGAUACCGCCCAAGAGUUCAUAUCGACGGCGGUGUUUGGCACCUCGAUGUCGGCUCAUCACAUCCUGGGGCUGAAGUAGGUCCCAAGGGUAUGGCUGUUCGCCAUUUAAAGUGGUACGCGAGCUGGGUUUAGAACGUCGUGAGACAGUUCGGUCCCUAUCUGCCGUGGGCGCUGGAGAACUGAGGGGGGCUGCUCCUAGUACGAGAGGACCGGAGUGGACGCAUCACUGGUGUUCGGGUUGUCAUGCCAAUGGCACUGCCCGGUAGCUAAAUGCGGAAGAGAUAAGUGCUGAAAGCAUCUAAGCACGAAACUUGCCCCGAGAUGAGUUCUCCCUGAGACCUGGAGUCUCCUGAAGGAACGUUGAAGACGACGACGUUGAUAGGCCGGGUGUGUAAGCGCAGCGAUGCGUUGAGCUAACCGGUACUAAUGAACCGUGAGGCUUAACCUUACAAC
rnacentral:rRNA from 1 species